UAACUUAGUGGCGGACGGGUGAGUAACGCGUGAGAAUCUGCCUUCAGGACGGAGACAACAGUUGGAAACGACUGCUAAGCCCCGAUGAACCGAAAGGGAAAAUAUUUAUAGCCUGAAGAUGAGCUCGCGUCCGAUUAGCUAGUUGGGGGGGUAAAAGCCCACCAAGGCGACGAUCGGUAGCUGGUCUGAGAGGACGAUCAGCCACACUGGGACUGAGACACGGCCCAG
rnacentral:rRNA from 1 species